UGUAAAUGUGUGUGUGUGUAUGAAAUGAGGAUCCCUAUGACCACUAAACUGAACGACACUCAAUAGAUUACAUCAGUUCGGGACCACAGGGAAAAGCCUCACGUCCAGUAACACCAGGAGCCAGAAGUGGGAUCUGACACUUCAAAACAAUCACAUUCUUUCUCUUCUUUGUUCCAUUUCCUCAAUAGUAACAGAAUUUUAUGAAACGAUACACCACAUCUUGACUAUUUGGCGCCAAACAGAAUGGAGCAACAGAAGGAGGGAGAGGAGGGGUAUGAGAAAAAGAGCAGCGCCUGAAAGAAUCAUCUCGCUUUCAUUAACUCUGCAUGUCGCUCUUUCUCUUUCUCCUGCUCUUGUAUGCUCCAACUCUUUCUGUCUCUCAGUUUCUUUCUUGCUCAUUUUUUCACACACACACACACACACACACACACACACACACACAC